rnacentral:lncRNA from 1 species
UGGGAUAUCCUAGAAAUGAAUAAUUGCUUCUGCCUAUUUGUGCCUUUCAGAACAUUGAAUUGAAGGUAGAAGUGGAAAGCCUGAAGCAAGAGCUCCAGCAGAAGCAGAAAAGCGUGGACAAAUCUUGGGCAACAUCAGAGAAUCUGUGCAAUCAGAAUGAUGAAGAAAACUGUCACGAACAGAAGGAUGAGCANGCCUAUGCCUUGCAGAAGAAAAUCCAGCAGCUACAAAAGGAGGCCCAGUCAGCAAAGAUUAAAGCAAAGCAGAUGACUGCUCUGGCUGAGGCUGAGAAGGAUCGUUGCUCAAAACUCACCAAGGAACUGCUAGAUUUUUCUAAGAAAGAAGAAGAAAUCAGGAACAGACAGGAUAUUUUGGAAUCAUACGGUGUUGCUUUGGCAGAGAAAGAUAAAAAGAUUGAGGAGCUGACUUGGAAUCUAAGAGACAAGGAGCAGUGGCUUGAGCAGUUGUCUGCAGAGAAACAGCAUAUUUUAGAAUGUUUGGAGGACACGUGGGAAAAUAAGGUAAAAUGCAUAUUUUAUUCAUUCAUUCAUUCAUUCAAGAAAUUAUAUCCCAUCCGUCACCCAAAGGUUUUGAUGGCUGUUGUUUGCUGUAAACGGAACAUUUAAAAAUCUAAAUUGUUGGUGGCAUUAUUGUUUCUGGUGGUAUUGCUGUGUUGAUUGUAAUUCAGGCUGAAUCUGCAUAUCACACUCAUCCUGUGCACUGAAUGUGCCACGGGAGANCAGGGCCACGAGGGUGCGCUGAUGACGCUUCUGGAAAAAUAGGGUUGGGUGUCGUCAGCAUACUGAGGACAGCUCACUCCAAAUCUCCAGAUGAUCUCUCCCACCAGUUUCAUAUAGAGCAUAGAAGCAUAAAGAGCACAGCAGGCAAAACUGACCCAGACAUGCCGAGGACAGGCUAAUCUUUACUCUGAAGCAACAUGUUUGUUUAUUGAUAAACAACCACACUCUAUAAUUAUAGUUACAAGAUUAUAUACUUUAGCAGUCACCCCUUCCAAACGUGUAUCAUUCACAAGCUCCUGUCUAAACAUUCCAAUAUCCUCCCUUCUUUCUCAAAUCCCGACCUUGAGGAGUGCACUCGGACUCGCACAGGUAUUUACCUGCUUUCCCUUAUCUCCUUGGAGCAAGACAACCUGCAGUCAAUGAGGUAAGCUAGCAGAGAAGGGUGC